GGCUAUGGGGGACUUUUGGUAUAGCAUUGGAAAUGUAAAUGAACUAAAUACCUAAUAAAAAAUGGAAAAAAAAGAAAGUAAAAAAAAAUAUUGUUGAUAAAAAGCAGCUGACUCAAGAGGACAUGAUGGUUGGGAACUAGGCCCUGGUGUAAUAUGUCAUUACUUUCCAAGCUAUCCUACAGCAUUUGGAUGCAUUAUGAGGUAUAAUAUGAUGCUUGAAUCCCUGCCAACAUAAUUAGCAUAUGGGUCACUGUUAGCACUUACUUCAUCCUUUCCCUAGGUGAUGCUCUGCAGAUGUUGAAGCUCUCUUGGGCACCCAUCUUGUAUCCUUCUCUCCCUCCCUCCAGUUCCUGCAGCAUCUCUCCCAGGGUCUGCUCUCCACUCUUGCUAUAAUAUACCAAGAUUAAAAUACCAAGUCUAGCCUGUGUGCUUGCAGAGUUCACCUCUGCCUGCAUCCUCUCAGAGCAGACGUUAAGCUAAACAGAUUCGUACUAUAUAUCCUGUGUAUUCGAUAAAUGCAUGCUUCUCCAGUAUGCAUUUAAAUUAAAAUUUCCAUUUCACAUAAAAACAAGAGCCAUGAAACUGUCUUAUGGGUGUUGAUUUUUAUAGAAUCUCCUGUCCAUACAAACAUUACAGCUCCUUGAGUUGACACAUGGAGGUGAUUUGAUGGAUGGAUGUUCAGAGGAAACAUGUCUCCAUGGUUCAAGGGCUGAGGAAUGCUACCACGCUGUCUGAUAGGGUGCUGAUAUUUUCCAAAUAUAAAUUAAAUUGUUUUUAUGAUGUAAUCUAAUUGCUUAGAAGGCAACACUGAGAAUACCCAGAAAAAGGAGGCUAUAGAUAAAAGACUUUUGCAACUUCAAACUACAGACUAUAGACUAAAAGAGAAACAGCACCUGCCUGUUUGAAUUGCUUUUUUAAAAUCUGCACAGUCAUGUUAGGUGUGCCUGUAAUUUUCUGGUGACACUGAUGUUAAUAUAGGAAUGUGAAUCCUCUACCCAUAUUUAAUGAACAGAGUUUAAUCUAGUUCCUCGAGCACAUGUCUACUAUAAUUUGUAUAAAUCAGCAGUUAUAUAUCAAAUAUAUUCUUCCUAAACACCUUAACACCUACAAAUGGGAGGGUUUUAGAAGGCAGGGGGUCUUCCACAGACUGUUCUCCCUCUGAAGUUUAAUAGAUGAAAUUGAAUACCUUCUCCUCAUUGAAAAAGCCUGUGAAGUGUUAGAAAACAAAUCUGAGCUGAAAAAAUACUAAAUUUCAGCAAGUGUUUUACUAAGUUCACAAUAUAUUUGGGAGUUUGAAGUAAAAAAAAAAAAACACACACACACACACACAAAAAACAAACAAACAAAACCCUGGAGUAUAACAUAGUUAAUGGUAAUUUUACAACUGUCUAGGACUCAUCCCUUUUUAAGAUCAUGAAUCUUAAUUUUAUUUCUAAGAAUAUAAAUAUCCAAAAUGUCACUAUAGCUUCCUUCCCUCUCCUCCUCUCCCCACCAUCAAUCUUUUUCUCUUGUACAUAGCCCAGGCUGGACAAGAAUAUAUAUUGUAUGUGAGGAUAAUCUUGGAUUUCCAAUCUUUCUGCCUUUCAUUCCUCAAGGCUAAGGAUUUCAGGCAUGCCCCAGCCUAUCAGACCACACGUUUCUGUUACCCACUCUUAUGGACAACCACAGCCAUAUUUGUUCCCCUGUGAUUUCUGCCACCUUAUUGUACUGCAGCUAUCUCAAAAUCUGGCUUAUAGUAUGUCUUAGGAAUUAUAGUAGUUACUUAUCUUCCACUAGAUCUUGUUGUUUAAAGUAAUAACCAUAUUAAAUAUAUAUCUAUAAUUCAAUAUUGUCAUUGGGCAGAAGCCAUAAACUGGGUUGUCAAAGCAGUUUACUGACUGGACAUGGUUAACAACACACAUCCUAGAUAUAUUUACUGGAAGGGUUUUUUUGUUUGUUUGUUUGUUUGUUUUAACUUAGUUGUUCUCCAUGACAAAAUGCGAUUAGAAUGUAGAAAUUACACAUAUCAAACUGAUAUGGGAGUGACUUAGCAUAAUUCAAAACUCAUCACUUCAGAGGAAAGGAUAUUAAAACCUGUAGCAAUAGGAGUAAUUAACCUGAAUAUAUAAACCACUCAUAAAGAUUGUAUGGUAGUUGAGGUAUCAGCAAGAUAGCAAAGGAUCGAACCUCGAGGUGACCAAGGUAUUUCUCUGAGCUAAAUUUUAUUUUAUUAUAUUAAUUAAUUAAUUAAUUAAUUAAUUUUGGUUUUUCGAGACAGGGUCUCCCUCUGAGCUAAAUUUUAUUUAUUUAUUUAUUUAUUUAUUUAUUUAUUUAUUUAUUUAUUUUGUUUUUUCGAGACAGGGUUUCCCUGUAUAGCCCUGGAUGUCCUGGAACUCACUUAGUAGAACAGGCUGGCCAGGAACUCAGAAAUCCGCCUGCCUCUGCCUCUGCCUCUCAAGUGCUGGGCUUAAAGGCGUGCGCCACCAUGCCUGGCUUAAUGUGUAGCCCAGGCUGGACUCGAACUCAUGAUCCUCCUGCCUCUGCCUCCUUCUGCAAAUCCUACCGGGGUGUGCCACCACCACUGGCGAUAAAUUUUAAAAUUAUUCCUCCCAUCAUUAUUCCACAGUGAGCAAAAGUUAGAUGGAAGAUGUGGGUGUGGGUUAAAGGGAAGACUACUUCAAGAUUGGAGUAAAGUCUUAAACAGUGUGGUAUAUGAGGCACACUGACUCUUUAAUCACCAUGUAGGUGCUGUGUGGAAAAUAGAAAGAAAUUUACUCACAGGGCAUAUUAUUUAAAUGACAUCAAUCUAAAUUGAUACCUAUCCCUUGUUGUUGUUGUUGUUGUUGUUGUUGUUUUGUUUCAUUUUUCAAGAUACAAUUUCUCAAGUAGCCCUGGCUGUCCGAGAACUCACUAUGCAGACUGAGCUGGCCUUGAACUCACAGUGAUAAUCUGCCUCUGCCUCCCAAGCACUGGGAUUAAAGGUGUGCGCAACUGUACCUGGUAUGUUAUCCUUACUUAUUCCUACUUGUUGUAGUUGGCUUUAUAAAAAUAAAAGCAAUCGAAUGACCCCAAAAGAGAAUGUCCUAUGAUCAUGUUAAUCCUCAUUAAACACAGUAAAAAUGUACAGCAGAUUUUGAAAGAGGCAGUGUGUAUAUGGAGGGGAGCCAUACUCACAGAGAGUUGAACUGUGAUUCUGUUCAAGGCGUUUUUAAAUCAUUGUGCUUGUAGUCAUAAAUAAAGAAAACAAAUAAUUCCAUUAGUGUUUCAUACUCACAUGGCUAUGUUUUGUGGAUUUAAAAUGUAGUAAAUUAGAGAUAUUAAUCCCUUUAUGCUUGUAAAAUUAAAAAGGGGCAGCAAUGAGUCACCCACCGUGCUUCCAGAAUGCAUUGCUUUGGGGAGCAGUGUGCCUACUAAUGACAUCAUGAUUGUUUAGUAGAAAUUCAGUUUAUAUAAACUGUGUUCCAUGUCAGUUGCUGCUGGGUUAAAAGUCCGAUAUGUACUGGAAUUAAAUGUCCAUAGUUACAUGAAUACAAAUAUGUAUAUAUGCACUAAUAUGCCCAUCAUAUAUAUGCAUAUAUGUAUAUAUGAUAUAUGUGACAUAUAUGAUAUAUAACAUAUAGUAUUAUGUAUAUACAUAUGCAUGUAUAUAUUAUGUAUGUAUAUAUGCAUGUAUGUUGUGAUACUCACCAAUACCUUGGUUCUUAGGAAUGUUAAAUGUGCUAGGGUCAAUUGUGAUUGAUUUGUAAUUU
rnacentral:lncRNA from 1 species